rnacentral:rRNA from 1 species
UGAAUACGGGUAGAACUACAGGAUUCCCCUAGAUACUUAACAAGGGAUUCCCCUAAUACCUAACCAGGAUUCCCCUGCUACUUAACGGGCAAUCCCCUUGGAAUUGGGCAUCAUUCCAGGGUGAGAAUCCCGUACUUGCCAUGGAAGAACCGUGCUUUGCGAUACACGCUCUAAGAGUCGAGUUGUUUGGGAUUGCAGCUCAAAAUGGGUGGUAGACUCCAUCUAAAGCUAAAUAUCGGGGAGAGACCGAUAGCGAACAAGUACCGUGAGGGAAAGAUGAAAAGCACUUUGGAAAGAGAGUUAAAAGUACGUGAAAUUGUCGAAAGGGAAGCACUUGAAGUCAGCCAUGCUGCUUGAGACUCAGCCUGGCCUUUGGGCUUGGUGUAUUUCUCGGUGGCAAGCCAGCAUUGGUUUGGGUCGUCGGAGAAGCGCAUAGGGAAUGUAGCGUCCCCGGACGUGUUAUAGCCUUAUGCAGGAUACGACGACCUGGAUCAAGGAACGCAGUGUGCCCUCUGGGCGGGUCUUCGGACACCUUCACACUUAGGAUGCUGGCGUAUUUU